UGAACGCUGGCGGUAUGCUUAACACAUGCAAGUCGAACGGAAACGAUACUAGCUUGCUAGUAGGCGUCGAGUGGCGGACGGGUGCGUAACGCGUAGGAAUCUGCCUGAUAGUGGGGGAUAGCCCGAAGAAAUUCGGAUUAAUACCGCAUAAUCUAUUCGUAGUAAAGUGGGGGACUUUCGAGCCUCACGCUAUCAGAUGAGCCUGCGUAAGAUUAGCUUGUUGGUAGGGUAAAAGCCUACCAAGGCGACGAUCUUUAGCUGGUCUGAGAGGAUGAUCAGCCACAUCGGGACUGAGACACGGCCCGAACUCCUACGGGAGGCAGCAGUGGGGAAUAUUGGACAAUGGGGGCAACCCUGAUCCAGCAAUACCGCGUGUGUGAAGAAGGCCUGAGGGUUGUAAAGCACUUUCAAUUGUGAAGAAAAGUUAGCGGUUAAUAACCGUUAGCCUUGACGUUAACUUUAGAAGAAGCACCGGCUAACUCCGUGCCAGCAGCCGCGGUAAUACGGAGGGUGCAAGCGUUAAUCGGAAUUACUGGGCGUAAAGCGUGCGUAGGCGGUUUAUUAAGUCAGAUGUGAAAGCCCCGGGCUUAACCUGGGAACUGCAUUUGAAACUGGUCAACUAGAGUAUGGUAGAGGAAAGUGGAAUUUCUGGUGUAGCGGUGAAAUGCGUAGAUAUCAGAAGGAACAUCAAUGGCGAAGGCAGCUUUCUGGACCAAUACUGACGCUGAGGUACGAAAGCGUGGGUAGCAAACAGGAUUAGAUACCCUGGUAGUCCACGCCGUAAACGAUGAUAACUAGCCGUUGGGGGGAUUUACCCUUUAGUGGCGAAGCUAACGCGUUAAGUUAUCCGCCUGGGGAGUACGGCCGCAAGGUUAAAACUCAAAGGAAUUGACGGGGACCCGCACAAGCGGUGGAGCAUGUGGUUUAAUUCGAUGCAACGCGAAGAACCUUACCUGGUCUUGACAUCCUGCGAACUUUCUAGAAAUAGAUUGGUGCCUUCGGGAACGCAGUGACAGGUGCUGCAUGGCUGUCGUCAGCUCGUGUCGUGAGAUGUUGGGUUAAGUCCCGUAACGAGCGCAACCCCUAUCCUUAUUUGCCAGCACAUCAUGGUGGGAACUAUAAGGAGACUGCCGGUGAUAAACCGGAGGAAGGCGGGGACGACGUCAAGUCAUCAUGGCCCUUACGACCAGGGCUACACACGUGCUACAAUGGGAAGGACAAAGAGCCGCGAAGCCGCGAGGUGUAGCUAAUCUCAUAAACCUUUUCGUAGUCCGGAUUGGAGUCUGCAACUCGACUCCAUGAAGUCGGAAUCGCUAGUAAUCGUAGAUCAGAAUGCUACGGUGAAUACGUUCCCGGGUCUUGUACACACCGCCCGUCA
rnacentral:rRNA from 1 species